AUUUUCAUUAUUCCAUAUUACAUUAUUACCUUUUGGUUAUUAUUAUGAUAGUCCAUCACGAUUUUAGAUUUACAUUUUGCAUAUUAAUUAUUAUUAUGUAAACGUGACGUCGUGACUUGACUUUAGUAAAAUGCCGUGUUCAUGCUGUGUCGUGUAUUGCACAUCUGGCUACAAAUCAAACACUGAUAAAGUGUCAUUUUUUUUGUUUCCCAAAGUUACAGCUCUUAAAGAGAAAUGGAUAAAAGCCAUACUUACCACGGGAAAACUUAGUUGUUAAUGAAAGAACAGUUGUCUGUGAAAAACAUUUAACUGAGGAUCAAAUUAUAAAAACGUGGGAGUCAGGUACUGGCUCCAAUAAAAUUGAGAUAAAUCUGAGACGUCCAAAGUUGGCCAAUGAUGCCAUUCCAUGCAUUUUCCCUGGACCGAAAUAUUUAUCGAAACCUGUUACUUGUUUACAUAAACUCAAAAUUGGAUCCAGAGAGGGGUGAUAGAGUGCUAUAGCACCCCUCUUGGCAUGUUGUUUCCUGGAAAACUUAUACUCUACAGAACAUGACGUAUUUUCAGUAAACUCCAGUCUCCAAGACCUAGAUAACUAUACUAGUUUAUAAUUUAUACUUGUAUAGUCAUAUAUAACCGGUGUUUACAAUGUGUGAAAAAAUUGGUGUGGUAAUUUAAGGAAAUUACUUUAUAGGAAAAAAAAAGUUUUUGCCACCCCUGUACUUAUUUGGUAUUUGUUAUUUUUCUAGACAGAUUAUUUAAAUAAAAACAAAUAAGAAUACAAACAAAUAGUAUAUGAUACUAACUAUGGUAUAAUUGUACUGCAAUAGAAGUUAUAGAGCAUAUUAUGAUAUUGCAAAAUUUUUUUCUUUGAAAAUUAAGUAAGUUGAAAUUUUUAAAAUGUAGAUUGCAAAAAAAUGUUCGCAAAUCAUUAGUUACAAAUACGUAAUCACCUAAAAUUCUCGAUUAUCCGCAUUUAUGUAUACACUCAUUAAAAUAAAAGUUCCUAAAAAAAUAUAUUAUA